GGAUUGUGGCUCAGUGGUAGAGCGGUUGCCUGAUGUGUGAGGCACUGGGUUCAAUUCUCAGCACCA
rnacentral:tRNA from 1 species